rnacentral:rRNA from 1 species
GAUGAACGCUAGCGGGAGGCUUAACACAUGCAAGUCGAGGGGCAGCAUAGGGUAGCAAUACUCUGAUGGCGACCGGCAAACGGGUGAGUAACGCGUAUGUAACCUACCCUGUACAGGGGGAUAACCCGGAGAAAUUCGGACUAAUAUCCCAUAACAAUAUCCGGGGGCAUCUUUGGAUAUUUAAAGUUCCGGCGGUACGGGAUGGGCAUGCGUAACAUUAGCUAGUUGGUAAGGUAACGGCUUACCAAGGCUUUGAUGUUUAGGGGUCCUGAGAGGGUGGUCCCCCACACUGGUACUGAGACACGGACCAGACUCCUACGGGAGGCAGCAGUGAGGAAUAUUGGUCAAUGGGCGCAAGCCUGAACCAGCCAUCCCGCGUGCAGGAAGACGGCGCUAUGCGUUGUAAACUGCUUUUCCAGGGAGAGAAACUUGCGCACGUGUUGCGCAAUUGACGGUACCCUGGGAAUAAGCAUCGGCUAACUCCGUGCCAGCAGCCGCGGUAAAACGUAG